rnacentral:rRNA from 1 species
ACUACGGGCGGCAGCAGUGGGGAAUAUUGCACAAUGGGGGAAACCCUGAUGCAGCGACGCCGCGUGAGUGAAGAAGUAUUUCGGUAUGUAAAGCUCUAUCAGCAGGAACGAGACAAGACGGUACCUGACUAAGAAGCCCCGGCUAACUACGUGCCAGCAGUCGCGGUAAUACGUAGGGGGCAAGCGUUAUCCGGAAUCACUGGGUGUAAAGGGAGCGUAGACGGCUGUGCAAGCCUGAAGUGAAAGGCGGGGGCCCAACCCCUGGACUGCUUUGGGAACUGUACGGCUGGAGUGCAGGAGAGGUAAGUGGAAUUCCUAGUGUAGCGGUGAAAUGCGUAGAUAUUAGGAGGAACACCAGUGGCGAAGGCGGCUUACUGGACUGUAACUGACGUUGAGGCUCGAAAGCGUGGGGAGCAAACAGGAUUAGAUACCCCUGUAGUC